rnacentral:pre_miRNA from 1 species
AAAAAUGUCACCUGGGAAUCUUAUUAAAUGGCAGAGCUGAAUCAGUAUCCCUGAGGUAGGGCCAGAGAUUUUGUAUUUCUUAUGAGUUUCCUGUGAUCCCUAU